GGCGGCAGGCCUAACACAUGCAAGUCGAACGGUAACAGGAAGCAGCUUGCUGCUUCGCUGACGAGUGGCGGACGGGUGAGUAAUGUCUGGGAAACUGCCUGAUGGAGGGGGAUAACUACUGGAAACGGUAGCUAAUACCGCAUAACGUCGCAAGACCAAAGAGGGGGACCUUCGGGCCUCUUGCCAUCGGAUGUGCCCAGAUGGGAUUAGCUAGUAGGUGGGGUAACGGCUCACCUAGGCGACGAUCCCUAGCUGGUCUGAGAGGAUGACCAGCCACACUGGAACUGAGACACGGUCCAGACUCCUACGGGAGGCAGCAGUGGGGAAUAUUGCACAAUGGGCGCAAGCCUGAUGCAGCCAUGCCGCGUGUAUGAAGAAGGCCUUCGGGUUGUAAAGUACUUUCAGCGGGGAGGAAGGCGAUAAGGUUAAUAACCUUGUCGAUUGACGUUACCCGCAGAAGAAGCACCGGCUAACUCGUGCCA
rnacentral:rRNA from 1 species